ACGUACACUCCUACGGGAGGCAGCAGUGGGGAAUAUUGGACAAUGGGCGCAAGCCUGAUCCAGCCAUGCCGCGUGAGUGAUGAAGGCCCUAGGGUUGUAAAGCUCUUUCACCGGUGAAGAUAAUGACGGUAACCGGAGAAGAAGCCCCGGCUAACUUCGUGCCAGCAGCCGCGGUAAUACGAAGGGGGCUAGCGUUGUUCGGAUUUACUGGGCGUAAAGCGCACGUAGGCGGACUAUUAAGUCAGGGGUGAAAUCCCGGGGCUCAACCCCGGAACUGCCUUUGAUACUGGUAGUCUUGAGUUCGAGAGAGGUGAGUGGAAUUCCGAGUGUAGAGGUGAAAUUCGUAGAUAUUCGGAGGAACACCAGUGGCGAAGGCGGCUCACUGGCUCGAUACUGACGCUGAGGUGCGAAAGCGUGGGGAGCAAACAGGAUUAGAUACCCUUGUAGUCC
rnacentral:rRNA from 1 species